GCCACCUAGUGUGGAGGAGGAGAACAGUUAUUCGAUUUUCUUGCGCUGCAUGUAAACUGGGACAAGGACUGUAGGGAGAAAGUCGAAUUUUGAGCAUAGCUCGAUUAAGCUCUCCAUGUUAACGCACUAACUCUCUCUCACAUGCACACACACACAGACACACACACUAACAACAGGCCCAGACAACAGGAGGACAGAUUGCAGGUACACAGAACAUCAAUUUCCACACUUCUAUUAGCCCCAGGUCCAGUGGACCCGGACAUCUUAUAUGUGUGGUCAUUAAAAAUGUAUUCUGAUAUAUGUUCUUCACAGACAAUGAGCCAAGGCCAGUGAGUCUUGAGUUUGUAAAAUGAAUUAAUUGUAUCAUUUUUUUGUAAGUGAAAACGGGUCCCACAGACCUGAACACAUGUGGUGAUAUGCCAACAUAGCACUGGUUGUGUUUAGCUUUCCAUUGUACACAUACUAAUGAUUCCCACACAACAAACCACUAUGUCUGUGAAAGUUGCGGAAAAGUCCACGGAAAAAAGGCGCUGUAUUAACCCGCUGAAAAGACACACGGCGCCACCUAGUUAUUUGAUUUUCUGUCUUGUGCGUAAACUGGGACAAGGAUUCAGGAAGUCGAAUUUAUUAAGCUGUGCAUGUAAACACACUGACACUGUAUACAGCGAAUGCUGCAACUUGAUUUCUGUCCAGUAGCUCCUGGGAUUUGACUCCAGACCUGCUAAUCUUGACAUGAGACUUAGUUUGGGACUUUCUGUUCUUGAUUUUAUAAUAAUCUGAAUUAUAGGCUGGUAUUAUAUCCACAGUGAGUGAGAGUCUCCAGUCUCAAGGGGUGAGGGGAAAUCAGACGCCUCCGAUUUUCUGAGAAGUGCUACCAGAUAAAAGGGUGACUCGCAUCACGUUCGUUCAGGCAAAACUCCUGGUACUUCACGUGUGUCACCUGAGAAAUCCCCACGCCCACCAAAGUCCUUUGCAGCAUUCCCACAGGAAUGAAAGACACCAGGCGGAUUUGUCCUGAGCAGCGGAGAGGGAAC